UACGAAGGGGGGCUAGCGUUGCUCGGAAUCACUGGGCGUAAAGCGCACGUAGGCGGCUUUUUAAGUCAGGGGUGAAAUCCUGGAGCUCAACUCCAGAACUGCCUUUGAUACUGAGAAGCUUGAGUCCGGGAGAGGUGAGUGGAACUGCGAGUGUAGAGGUGAAAUUCGUAGAUAUUCGCAAGAACACCUGUGGCGAAGGCGGCAUCCUGGACCGACAUUGACGCUGAGGCGCGAAAGCCAGGGGAGCAAACGGG
rnacentral:rRNA from 1 species